CCUACGGGGGGCUGCAGUCGAGAAUUUUUCACAAUGGGCGCAAGCCUGAUGGAGCGACGCCGCGUGGGGGAUGAAUGGCUUCGGCCCGUAAACCCCUGUCAUUUGCGAUCAACCGUUAUUGUUUAAGAGAUGAUAACCUGAUAGUAGCGAAAGAGGAAGGGACGGCUAACUCUGUGCCAGCAGCCGCGGUAAUACAGAGGUCCCAAGCGUUGUUCGGAUUCACUGGGCGUAAAGGGUGCGUAGGUGGCGAAGUAAGUCGGAUGUGAAAUCUCCGAGCUCAACUCGGAAACUGCAUUGGAAACUACUUUGCUUGAGGGUUGGAGGGGGGACUGGAAUACUUGGUGUAGCAGUGAAAUGCGUAGAUAUCAAGUGGAACACCAGUGGCGAAGGCGAGUCCCUGGACAACUCCUGACACUGAGGCACGAAAGCUAGGGGAGCAAACAGGAUUAGAUACCCCGGUAGUCA
rnacentral:rRNA from 1 species